rnacentral:rRNA from 1 species
GAUGAACGCUGGCGGCGUGCCUAAUACAUGCAAGUCGAGCGAAUGGAUUGAGAGCUUGCUCUUAUGAAGUUAGCGGCGGACGGGUGAGUAACACGUGGGUAACCUGCCCAUAAGACUGGGAUAACUCCGGGAAACCGGGGCUAAUACCGGAUAACAUUUUGAACCGCAUGGUUCGAAAUUGAAAGGCGGCUUCGGCUGUCACUUAUGGAUGGACCCGCGUCGCAUUAGCUAGUUGGUGAGGUAACGGCUCACCAAGGCAACGAUGCGUAGCCGACCUGAGAGGGUGAUCGACCACACUGGGACUGAGACACGGCCCAGACUCCUACGGGAGGCAGCAGUAGGGAAUCUUCCGCAAUGGACGAAAGUCUGACGGAGCAACGCCGCGUGAGUGAGGAAGGCUUUCGGGUCGUAAAACUCUGUUGUUAGGGAAGAACAAGUGCUAGUUGAAUAAGCUGGCACCUUGACGGUACCUAACCAGAAAGCCACGGCUAACUACGUGCCAGCCGCCGCUGUAA